rnacentral:tRNA from 1 species
GGGCCUGUAGCUCAUUUGGAAGAGCGCCUCGUUCGCAUCGAGGAGGCAGUGGGUUCGACUCCCAUCAGGUCCA